rnacentral:tRNA from 1 species
GUUUUAAUAGUUUAAUAAAAAACAUUGGUCUUGUAAACCAAAAAUAAAUUAAUAUGUUUUUAAAACU